CACCUCUCAGGGUCAUACAUGGAGAGUUUUCAGUCCUCUACCAGUCUUGACUAUGUGAGGGAGAGUCAAGCAGAAGCAUACCCAUUCCAUUCCUAGCUAGGGCAGUGGCUAGCAAGCGGAAGGCAAUCUGCUACAUGU